GGAAAUCCAUAUUUCUUUAUGGAUCAAUACGGUAACAUUUCAAAACGGUAGCAACAUACAAUUUGGUUCCUGCGGCAAAGGUGAGAUAACAAUGUACUUAUUCAAGUUUUAUGUAAUUAAAUGUUAAAGCAUCAGCUAAGUAUCAAGUUCCAAGUAUCAGUAAAUUGAUGUUUAUUGACGUAUCUUUCGCACAUAAAAAGCCUAAAUAGCUACAUGUAAUUGAGUCUGCAAAUAAAGACUAUAUAUAUGUUGAAACAGAAGAACAAACGAUACAAGAAAUCUUCGUCAUCGUGGCAUAGUGAACCUAUGUCAGCCUAUUGACCGUGAGGUCAAAAAGCGGACAUUUUUCAGCGCCACGAAUACAACCUUUAAAAGCCGCAGACGCCGCAGACGUUGACGCAAAUUUCUCAACAGUGCCAGAGAGGAGCAUCGUCAAAAAGACCCAACAUUCCACGAGUUUGAGCAUAUACCUCCACUCUUCGUCAUGAUGUCACGAAAAAGAUGGCAGACUAUGUCGCUGUACUUACCAACAUUUAAGGUCCCGUUCAAAUCGUUGUGAUGAACUUCGAGAUUGGUUCGUGUUAAGACAUGUAACAAUAGUUGGACAGUAGGUCAAAACGUACACUUUUUAUGUUGUAUAAUGCUAGUAUGCAAAAUAAUAUCAUAUAAAGUACAUUCAAGCUGUAGUAUGAUAAACAUAAAUUCAG